AGCGAACGCUGGCGGCAGGCCUAACACAUGCAAGUCGAACGAACCCUUCGGGGUUAGUGGCGGACGGGUGAGUAACACGUGGGAACGUGCCUUUAGGUUCGGAAUAACUCAGGGAAACUGGUGCUAAUACCGAAUGUGCCCUUCGGGGGAAAGAUUUGUCGCCUUUAGAGCGGCCCGCGUCUGUUUAGCUAGUUGGUGAGGUAAUGGCUCACCAGGGCAACGAACUUUAGCUGGUCUGAGAGGAGGAUAAGCCACACGGGGCCUGCAAACCGGCCCGGACCCGUACGGGGGGAAGCAGUGGGAAAUUUGGAACAUUGGGGAAAAGCCUAUUCCGCAAUGCCGCCGUAAGGAUGGAGGGCCUAAGGUUUUAAAGCUCUUUUACCAGGGAUGAUAAUGACAGUACCUGGAGAAUAAGCUCCGGCUAACUCCGUGCCAGCCGCCGCCGUAACAC
rnacentral:rRNA from 1 species